rnacentral:rRNA from 1 species
AACGAACGCUGGCGGCAUGCCUAACACAUGCAAGUCGAACGAGACCUUCGGGUCUAGUGGCGCACGGGUGCGUAACGCGUGGGAACCUGCCCUUAGGUUCGGAAUAACUCCCCGAAAGGGGUGCUAAUACCGGAUAAUGUCUUCGGACCAAAGAUUGAUCGCCUUUGGAUGGGCCCGCGUUGGAUUAGCUAGUUGGUAGGGUAAAAGCCUACCAAGGCGACGAUCCAUAGCUGGUCUGAGAGGAUGAUCAGCCACACUGGGACUGAGACACGGCCCAGACUACUACGGGAGGCAGCAGUGGGGAAUAUUGGACAGUGGGCGAAAGCCUGAUCCAGCAAUGCCGCGUGAGUGAUGAAGGCCUUAGGGUUGUAAAGCUCUUUUACACGGGAUGAUAAUGACAGUACCGGGAGAAUAAGCUCCGGCUAACUCCGUG